rnacentral:rRNA from 1 species
GCUGUCGUCAGCUCGUGUCGUGAGAUGUUGGGUUAAGUCCCGCAACGAGCGCAACCCCCUUUCUUAGUUGCUAACAGGUUAUGCUGAGAACUCUAAGGAUACUGCCUCCGUAAGGAGGAGGAAGGUGGGGACGACGUCAAGUCAUCAUGGCCCUUACGCCUAGGGCUACACACGUGCUACAAUGGGGUGCACAAAGAGAAGCAAUACUGCGAAGUGGAGCCAAUCUUCAAAACAUCUCUCAGUUCGGAUUGUAGGCUGCAACUGGC